rnacentral:rRNA from 1 species
AUGCUCUACCGCGGUGAGUACGAGGAUUUGAACACUUGCCCGGUAUGUGGUGCAUUGCGCUAUAAGAUCAGCCGCGAUGAGCCUGGUGAUGUCGAGGGCGAGCGCCCCAGGAAGAAAAUUCCUGCCAAGGUGAUGUGGUAUUCUCCUAUAAUACCACGGUUGAAACGUUUGUUCCAAAACAAAGAGCAUGCCAAGGCGAUGCGAUGGCACAGAGAAUACCAUAAGAAAGACGGAAAGUUGAGAGUACCCGCUGACGGGUCGCAGUGGAGAAAAAUCGAAAGAAAGUAUGGGAAGGAGUUUGCAGAUGACGCAAGGAGCGUAUGGUUUGGUCUAAGUGCAGAUGGCAUUAAUCCUUUUGGGGAGCAGAGCAGCAACCAUAGCACCUGGCCUGUGACUCUAUGUUUGUAUAACCUUCCUCCUUGGUUGUGCAUGAAGCGGAAGUUCAUUAUGAUGCCAGUGCUCAUCCAAGGCCCUAAGCAACCCGGCAACGACAUUGAUGUGUACCUAAGGCCAUUAGUUGAAGAACUCUUACAACUGUGGAAUGGAACAGGUGUACGUGCGUGGGAUGAGCACAUGAGGGAAGAAUUUGACUUAAAGGCGUUGAUGUUCGUGACUAUCAAUGCUUGGCCUGCUCUCAGUAACCUUUCAGGACAGACAAACAAGGGAUACCGCGGAUGCACGCACUGUUUGGAUGAUACCGACAGUAUAUAUUUGAAUAGUUGUAAGAAGAAUGUGUACCUAGGACAUCGUCGAUUUCUUCCGAGCAGGCAUCCCGUAAGAAAGAAAGGCAAGCAUUUCGAAGGUGAGGCGGAUCACCGGACAAAACCUCGCCACCGUACUGGUGCUGAUGUACAUGAUAUGGUCAAGGAUUUGAAGGUGAUAUUUGGAAAGGGUCCUGGCGGACAACCUGUUCCGAAGGACGCGGACGGACGCGCACCCAUGUGGAAGAAGAAAUCUAUAUUUUGGGACCUGCCAUAUUGGAAAGACCUAGAGGUCCGCUCCGCAAUUGACGUGAUGCACGUGACGAAGAAUCUUUGCGUGACCCUGCUUGGCUUCUUGGGCGUGUAUGGGAAGACAAAAGAUACACCUGAGGCACGGGAGGACCAGUAA